AGAGCGAACGCUGGCGGCAGGCCUAACACAUGCAAGUCGAACGGGCCCUUCGGGGUUAGUGGCGGACGGGUGAGUAACACGUGGGAACGUGCCUUUAGGUUCGGAAUAGCUCCUGGAAACGGGUGGUAAUGCCGAAUGUGCCCUUCGGGGGAAAGAUUUAUCGCCUUUAGAGCGGCCCGCGUCUGAUUAGCUAGUUGGUGAGGUAAAGGCUCACCAAGGCUACGAUCAGUAGCUGGUCUGAGAGGAUGACCAGCCACAUUGGGACUGAGACACGGCCCAAACUCCUACGGGAGGCAGCAGUGGGGAAUCUUGCGCAAUGGGCGAAAGCCUGACGCAGCCAUGCCGCGUGAAUGAUGAAGGUCUUAGGAUUGUAAAAUUCUUUCAGUAGGACGAUAAUGACGGUACCUACAGAAGAAGCCCGGCUAACUCGUGCCAGCAGCCGC
rnacentral:rRNA from 1 species